rnacentral:rRNA from 1 species
GACGAACGCUGGCGGCGUGCUUAACACAUGCAAGUCGAACGGAAAGGCCCUGCUUUUGGGGGAUGCGCGAGUGACGAACGGGUGAGUAACACGUGAGUAACCUGCCCUUUACGUUGGGAGAACUUCAGGAAACUGUGGCUAAUACCGGAUAGUAGCUCCUGCUGCAGGGUGUUGGUUGGAAAGGUUCGGCGUGUGGGGAUGGACUCGCGGCUUAUCAGCUUGUGGGGGGGGUAGUGGCUUACCAAGGCUUUGACGGGUGGCCGGCCUGAGAGGGUGCCCGGCCACAUGGGGUGUGAGACACGGCCCAGACCCAUAGGGGAGGGAGGAGGGGGGAAUAGUGCAAAAUGGGCGGAAGCCUGACGGAGAAACGCCGCGUGCGGGAUGACGGCCUUCGGGUUGUAACCCGCUUUCGAGUGUGACGACGCGUGAGGGACGGUAAUGGGGAAAGAAGCACCGGCUACUUACGU